rnacentral:rRNA from 1 species
GCAAGUCGAACGGCAGCACAGUAAAGAUUUCGGUCUUUAUGGGUGGCGGUGGCGGACGGGUGAGUCACGCGUAGGAAUGUGUCCUGGAGCGUGGGAUAACCCGAGGACACUCGGGCUAAUACCGCAUGAUCUCGAGAGAUCAAAAGCAGGGGACCGAAAGGCCGUGCGCUCUGGGGUGAGCCUACGUCAGAUUAGCUAGUUGGUGGGGUAAAAGCCUACCAAGGCGACGAUCCGUAGCUGGUCUGAGAGGAUGACC